AUGAACUUUGGUCUUCUCUGCAAUCCCUCUGGAGCAUUCAGUGACAACGUCGACUUUGAAGUUGCACUGACCUGGCCAGCCCUGCCACUUACCAGGUUGGGCUGUGGCUUGCCUUUUCACUUCUUGUGUCCUGUUUAAGAAAUAUCUGCUAUCCCAAGCAUCUGGCAUCUUUCUUGACAUACGUAGCAGUUGCUUUUUGACAGCUUGCUUCUGGAGUGAAUGAAUAAAUUAAUAAAUUUAUUCAUUUGAUAUUCAGUGACAUGUGAUAUUCAGUGAUCCAUUUUGCAGGCUCUUGAGUUUCUGCUUUCAAGUGACCCUCAGAAAUGCCCCCAUUCACUGCAGAGGUUCUGUUUCUCCUUGUUUUGUUCCGACUUUAUGGCAGAACUAGGUUAAUGAGUUAAUUACUAUGAGUUAUCACUUGGAUUUGAAGAACCAUCAUUUCUAGGCUUUGCUGCUCAGAGUGGGUUUGCCCUCAGGGGAAGCUAUCUAACCAGAGCCUAACCCACUAGGGUUUUAUCAGAACCUAACUGGCCUGAGGAAAAGAAAUAUUCAACUCCAGCAAGCUCCAGCCUUCCAAACGGAGGAGGAGAAAACCCAAAUCCAGCCCACUUCAGCUAUCUUGUCCCACAUAAAGGGGGAGUGGAAGAAACGUGAGAAGCAGGCAUGAAGUUCACAGUCCGGAGGUACAGACACAUCAGAGUUCAGUAUCUGAUGAAUUAGAUGCAAAAUCCUCAACAAAGUAUUAGCAAAUUGAAUUCAACAAUGUAUGAAAAUUAUUACAUGCCAUGACUAAUUGGAAUUUAUCUCAGGUAUACAAGCCAUGCUGAACAUCUGAAAAUCAAUUCAUGUGAUCCAUCACAUUAGCAGAUUCAAGAAAAAAAAAACCACAUUAUCAUAUCAGUAGAUGUAGAAAAAAAAAAUUAACAAAAUCCAGCACGCAUUCACAAUGAAAAUGCUCAGUAAAUUAGAAAUAGAAGGUAACUUCCUCAACUUGACAAGGAAUAUCUCUAAAAACCUACAACUAAAAUCAUACUUAAUGGUAAAAAACUAGAAGCCUUCCCAGUAAGAGUAAGAACAAGGCAAAGAUGUAUGCUCUCACCACUCCUUUUCAACAUCAUAUUGGAAGUCCUAGCUAGUGCAAUAAGCAAAAAAAAAAAAAAAA
rnacentral:lncRNA from 1 species